GGCCUUGUAUUCAUUUUGUGAUUACAGAAUGCAAUUCUGUAGGGGUAGGUAUUUAGCUAUCAAGGCCU
rnacentral:tRNA from 2 species